rnacentral:misc_RNA from 1 species
GAGAAUUUGAACAGUUCACAUUUGCUUUGGUUAAAGCAGCGCCUGUAGAGGAUUUAAUCCCGGGGUCCACUACAAGCCACUAUGCCAGUCAUGCAUUGAAGUACAGCCCCAUUAGAAAAGAAAUUUCCUGGUUCUAGCUCCUCUAAUUCAACUCAACCUCUUUAUCCUCAGCCUCUGUAUCUGGUCUAUCUACAGCUCUCCCAAGUCACGGAUUCCAAGUAAGAGAAUGAUUGUUGAUCACUUGAAUAGCUAUUCCUUUAACGUUCUUUUCUUCUUUUUUGGUGAAUUAAUAUUCUUUUCUUCUUGUAACAGGAAAAGGUAGGAAAACCAAGGGACUUGGGACUUUUGAAUCGCUUAGAAUUAGGGUUUUUUUAGUUUAUUUGAAAUCAGAUUUGGCUUGAGAGCAUGAAAUUCGAAACUUAAUAUGUGAUUUGUUGUUUUGGUGUACAACUACAGUUAUGAUGAUUAGUUGAUUACUAUGUAGCUUAGCUUUAGUUUUGAUCAUGUUAUGAAUAGGAUCUUUGUGUUUUGAUUGCUACCGGUUGAUUCGGAAAGUGUCGGAAGUUAAAUUAACUCUGUGCCUCUACAUUUAUUCUAAAGAAUUUUCUGCUCUGGGUAAAAUAUGUUGUUCUUGAUAACAUGAAGCUUUCUGCUCUGCACUUGUAUUUUUCACAAGUAAAAUUGCUUGACCAAAAGUGUUAAGAUAUUUCAUUUAGCAGGUUGUCUGACGUGGCAUGAUGGGUGGAAGUGCAAUAGAUGAUGACUGGGAGCUUACUUCACCAUCUAAUGGGGUUCGCACUGUGGUCUUAGUUGGGCGUACAGGUAAUGGCAAAAGUGCGACAGGCAACAGUAUUCUUGGAAGGAAGGCCUUCAAAUCAAGGGCUAGCUCAUCUGGUGUUACCAGUACUUGUGAAUUGCAGAGAACUGUGAUUACAGAUGGUCAAAUUAUCAACGUCGUCGACACUCCUGGACUGUUUGAUUUUUCUGCUGAAUCUGAAUUUGUUGGCAAAGAAAUUGUCAAAUGUAUUAACAUGGCCAAGGAUGGGAUCCAUGCAGUCCUUGUAGUAUUCUCAGUUAGGACCCGCUUUUCACAAGAAGAAGAAGCUGCACUUCGUAGCUUACAGACUUUGUUUGGAAGCAAGAUAUUUGACUACAUGAUUGUAGUAUUCACAGGAGGAGAUGAACUUGAAGAUAAUGAUGAGACAUUGGAAGAUUAUCUAGGUCGUGAAUGUCCUUGGCCUUUAAAGGAAAUUCUCACACUCUGCAAGAAUCGACGAGUGCUUUUUGAUAACAAAACUAAAGAUGAACUUAAGAGAGCUGAACAGCUUCAGCAGCUUCUUUCCCUUGUAAAUAUGGUCCUAGUCCAAAAUGGUGGACAACCAUACACAGAUGAGUUAUUUGCCGAGUUGAAACAAGGGGCUAUGAAACUUCGUGAUCAACAAGAAGAGGUUGAUUCUUUGAAAGGUUAUUCUAAACGAGAAAUAUUGGAGCUGAAGGAGCAGAUGCAUAAGUCAUACGAAGAACAACUGAAACGAAUAACUGAGAUGGUUGAGUCAAAGCUUAGGGAGACAACAACUAGGCUUGAGCAGCAGUUGGCAGAGGAGCAAGCAGCCCGACUAAAAGCAGAGGAGAUAGCACAAUUGGCUCAGAUGAAAUCAAAUGAUGAAAUCCGCCAGCUAAGAGAGAAUUUAGAAAGAGCUCAAAGGGAGACUGAGGAACUCCGUAGGCAGGCUGAAAGUCGGUGCACCAUUCUAUGAUAAUAUUUGAGUAUUAUUUCUAGCCUAUAUAUUUGGUUUAUCAAGCUUUUACUUAAGGAUUAUGGUUUUAUUUGUCGGGUAAUUUGUUUUAAAUCCUGUAUGUAAAUGCUUACCAAUGUUGGCUUAAGAUUUCAAUACGUGAACAUAUGUGCUCACUUCAGUUUCCUAGUUGUUGGAAAGUGGAAAUUUAGCUGCUCGAAAAGGUGGUUUCAAAGUUGUUUAAGGUUUACAUGAUUUGAUUUUGUGUAGCUUCAUGGACUUCUAGGAGUUGAUUUAUCUUCAUCAAAAGAUGCUAUUCUACUAGAUUCGAAAAGCCAAUGCAUCUCUCUCUCUCUCUCUCU